AGUGAACGCUGGCGGUAGGCCUAACACAUGCAAGUCGAACGGCAGCACAGUAAGAGCUUGCUCUUACGGGUGGCGAGUGGCGGACGAGUGAGGAAUACAUCGGAAUCUACUUUUUCGUGGGGGAUAACGUAGGGAAACUUACGCUAAUACCGCAUACGACCUACGGGUGAAAGCAGGGGAUCUUCGGACCUUGCGCGAUUGAAUGAGCCGAUGUCGGAUUAGCUAGUUGGCGGGGUAAAGGCCCACCAAGGCGACGAUCCGUAGCUGGUCUGAGAGGAUGAUCAGCCACACUGGAACUGAGACACGGUCCAGACUCCUACGGGAGGCAGCAGUGGGGAAUAUUGGACAAUGGGCGCAAGCCUGAUCCAGCCACACCGCGUGGGUGAAGAAGGCCUUCGGGUUGUAAAGCCCUUUUGUUGGGAAAGAAAAGCAGCAGGUUAAUACCCCGCUGUUCUGACGGUACCCAAAGAAUAAGCACCGGCUAACUUCGUG
rnacentral:rRNA from 1 species